UACGGAGGGUGCGAGCGUUGUCCGGAAUCACUGGGCGUAAAGGGCGCGUAGGCGGCUCGGUAAGUAGGGGGUGAAAUCCUGCGGCUUAACCGCAGGGCUGCCUUCUAAACUGUCGAGCUUGAGCACGGUAGAGGCAGAUGGAAUUCCCGGUGUAGCGGUGGAAUGCGUAGAGAUCGGGAAGAACAUCAGUGGCGAAGGCGGUCUGCUGGGCCGUUGCUGACGCUGAGGCGCGACAGCGGUGGGGAGCAAACAGG
rnacentral:rRNA from 1 species